rnacentral:rRNA from 1 species
AAUCUGCGAUAAGCGUCGGUAAGGUGAUAUGAACCGUUAUAACCGGCGAUUUCCGAAUGGGGAAACCCAGUGUGUUUCGACACACUAUCAUUAACUGAAUCCAUAGGUUAAUGAGGCGAACCGGGGGAACUGAAACAUCUAAGUACCCCGAGGAAAAGAAAUCAACCGAGAUUCCCCCAGUAGCGGCGAGCGAACGGGGAGCAGCCCAGAGCCUGAAUCAGUGUGUGUGUUAGUGGAAGCGUCUGGAAAGGCGCGCGAUACAGGGUGACAGCCCCGUACACAAAAAUGCACAUGCUGUGAGCUCGAUGAGUAGGGCGGGACACGUGGUAUCCUGUCUGAAUAUGGGGGGACCAUCCUCCAAGGCUAAAUACUCCUGACUGACCGAUAGUGAACCAGUACCGUGAGGGAAAGGCGAAAAGAACCCCGGCGAGGGGAGUGAAAAAGAACCUGAAACCGUGUACGUACAAGCAGUGGGAGCACGCUUAGGCGUGUGACUGCGUACCUUUUGUAUAAUGGGUCAGCGACUUAUAUUCUGUAGCAAGGUUAACCGAAUAGGGGAGCCGAAGGGAAACCGAGUCUUAACUGGGCGUUAAGUUGCAGGGUAUAGACCCGAAACCCGGUGAUCUAGCCAUGGGCAGGUUGAAGGUUGGGUAACACUAACUGGAGGACCGAACCGACUAAUGUUGAAAAAUUAGCGGAUGACUUGUGGCUGGGGGUGAAAGGCCAAUCAAACCGGGAGAUAGCUGGUUCUCCCCGAAAGCUAUUUAGGUAGCGCCUCGUGAAUUCAUCUCCGGGGGUAGAGCACUGUUUCGGCAAGGGGGUCAUCCCGACUUACCAACCCGAUGCAAACUGCGAAUACCGGAGAAUGUUAUCACGGGAGACACACGGCGGGUGCUAACGUCCGUCGUGAAGAGGGAAACAACCCAGACCGCCAGCUAAGGUCCCAAAGUCAUGGUUAAGUGGGAAACGAUGUGGGAAGGCCCAGACAGCCAGGAUGUUGGCUUAGAAGCAGCCAUCAUUUAAAGAAAGCGUAAUAGCUCACUGGUCGAGUCGGCCUGCGCGGAAGAUGUAACGGGGCUAAACCAUGCACCGAAGCUGCGGCAGCGACGCUUAUGCGUUGUUGGGUAGGGGAGCGUUCUGUAAGCCUGUGAAGGUGUGCUGUGAGGCAUGCUGGAGGUAUCAGAAGUGCGAAUGCUGACAUAAGUAACGAUAAAGCGGGUGAAAAGCCCGCUCGCCGGAAGACCAAGGGUUCCUGUCCAACGUUAAUCGGGGCAGGGUGAGUCGACCCCUAAGGCGAGGCCGAAAGGCGUAGUCGAUGGGAAACAGGUUAAUAUUCCUGUACUUGGUGUUACUGCGAAGGGGGGACGGAGAAGGCUAUGUUGGCCGGGCGACGGUUGUCCCGGUUUAAGCGUGUAGGCUGGUUUUCCAGGCAAAUCCGGAAAAUCAAGGCUGAGGCGUGAUGACGAGGUACUACGGUGCUGAAGCAACAAAUGCCCUGCUUCCAGGAAAAGCCUCUAAGCAUCAGGUAACAUCAAAUCGUACCCCAAACCGACACAGGUGGUCAGGUAGAGAAUACCAAGGCGCUUGAGAGAACUCGGGUGAAGGAACUAGGCAAAAUGGUGCCGUAACUUCGGGAGAAGGCACGCUGAUAUGUAGGUGAAGUCCCUUGCGGAUGGAGCUGAAAUCAGUCGAAGAUACCAGCUGGCUGCAACUGUUUAUUAAAAACACAGCACUGUGCAAACACGAAAGUGGACGUAUACGGUGUGACGCCUGCCCGGUGCCGGAAGGUUAAUUGAUGGGGUUAGCGGUAACGCGAAGCUCUUGAUCGAAGCCCCGGUAAACGGCGGCCGUAACUAUAACGGUCCUAAGGUAGCGAAAUUCCUUGUCGGGUAAGUUCCGACCUGCACGAAUGGCGUAAUGAUGGCCAGGCUGUCUCCACCCGAGACUCAGUGAAAUUGAACUCGCUGUGAAGAUGCAGUGUACCCGCGGCAAGACGGAAAGACCCCGUGAACCUUUACUAUAGCUUGACACUGAACAUUGAGCCUUGAUGUGUAGGAUAGGUGGGAGGCUUUGAAGUGUGGACGCCAGUCUGCAUGGAGCCGACCUUGAAAUACCACCCUUUAAUGUUUGAUGUUCUAACGUUGACCCGUAAUCCGGGUUGCGGACAGUGUCUGGUGGGUAGUUUGACUGGGGCGGUCUCCUCCUAAAGAGUAACGGAGGAGCACGAAGGUUGGCUAAUCCUGGUCGGACAUCAGGAGGUUAGUGCAAUGGCAUAAGCCAGCUUGACUGCGAGCGUGACGGCGCGAGCAGGUGCGAAAGCAGGUCAUAGUGAUCCGGUGGUUCUGAAUGGAAGGGCCAUCGCUCAACGGAUAAAAGGUACUCCGGGGAUAACAGGCUGAUACCGCCCAAGAGUUCAUAUCGACGGCGGUGUUUGGCACCUCGAUGUCGGCUCAUCACAUCCUGGGGCUGAAGUAGGUCCCAAGGGUAUGGCUGUUCGCCAUUUAAAGUGGUACGCGAGCUGGGUUUAGAACGUCGUGAGACAGUUCGGUCCCUAUCUGCCGUGGGCGCUGGAGAAUUGAGGGGGGCUGCUCCUAGUACGAGAGGACCGGAGUGGACGCAUCACUGGUGUUCGGGUUGUCAUGCCAAUGGCACUGCCCGGUAGCUAAAUGCGGAAGAGAUAAGUGCUGAAAGCAUCUAAGCACGAAACUUGCCCCGAGAUGAGUUCUCCCUGACUCCUUGAGAGUCCUGAAGGAACGUUGAAGACGACGACGUUGAUAGGCCGGGUGUGUAAGCGCAGCGAUGCGUUGAGCUAACCGGUACUAAUGAACCGUGAGGCUUAACCUU